GGUUUCAGGUGUGUUGGUUGGCUCCAGGUGCGUUAGUUGGUUUCAGGUGGAUUGCUUGGUUUCAGGUACGUUGAUUGAUUAAAGAUGGAUUGCUUGGUUUCAGGUGCAUUGCUUGGUUUCAGGUGGAUUGCUUGGUUUCAGGUGGAUUGCUUGGUUUCAGGUGCGUUGCUUGGUUUCAGGUGUGUUGCUUGGUUUCAGGUGGAUUGCUUGGUUUCAGGUGCGUUGCUUGGCUCCAGGUACGUUGCUUGGUUUCAGGUGCGUUGCUUGGUUUAAGGUGGAUUGCUUGGUUUCAGGUGCAUUGCUUGGUUUCAGGGGCGUUGCUUGGUUUCAGGUGCAUUAAUUGGUUUCAGGUGCGUUGCUUGGUUUCAGUUGCAUUGUUUGGUUUCAGGUGCGUUGCUUGGUUUCAGGUGCAUUGCUUGGUUUCAUGUGCGUUGCUUGGUUUCAGGUCCGUUGCUUGGUUUCAGGUGCGUUGCUUGGUUUCAGGUGCAUUGCUUGGUUUCCGGUGCGUUGCUUGGUUUCAGGUGCGUUGCUUGGUUUCAGGUGCGUUGCUUGGUUUCAGGUGCGUUUGAUGUGUUUUU